rnacentral:rRNA from 1 species
CAGUAGCCACGGGAACACAGAGGGUGCGAGCGUUAAUCGGAUUUACUGGGCGUAAAGCGCGCGUAGGUGGUUCAUUAAGUUGGAUGUGAAAGCCCUGGGCUCAACCUGGGAACUGCAUCCAAAACUGGUGAGCUAGAGUACGGUAGAGGGUAGUGGAAUUUCCUGUGUAGCGGUGAAAUGCGUAGAUAUAGGAAGGAACACCAGUGGCGAAGGCGACUACCUGGACUGAUACUGACACUGAGGUGCGAAAGCGUAGGGAGCAAACAGGAUUAGAUACCCCGGUAGUCCCUGUCUCUUAUAC